GGCAGAGACCGGCAGGGCCAUGACACCAAAUGAAAAUGGCAUUCUAUAGAAUGAUCUCUUUAAAGAAGUGUCUCAUCUAUUGUGACAACCAACAGCACAAAAAACCCAUUGUGGUCUACCGUUUUCGGGACUCGGGAUCAGGGUUGGUGUUGUCUAUGGCGACGCUGCGGCCCUCCUUCAGAGCACGUUCACAUGCCACUACACAGC